rnacentral:rRNA from 1 species
UACGUAGGGUGCGAGCGUUGUCCGGAAUUAUUGGGCGUAAAGAGCUCGUAGGCGGUGUGCCACGUCGGCCGUGAAAACCUGGGGCUCAACUCUGGGCGUGCGGUCGAUACGGGCAUCACUUGAGUUCGGCAGGGGAGACUGGAAUUCCUGGUGUAGCGGUGAAAUGCGCAGAUAUCAGGAGGAACACCGGUGGCGAAGGCGGGUCUCUGGGCCGAUACUGACGCUGAGGAGCGAAAGCAUGGGUAGCGAACAGG